rnacentral:rRNA from 1 species
GUAGGUGGCAAGCGUUGUCCGGAAUUAUUGGGCGUAAAGCGCGCGCAGGCGGUUCUUUAAGUCUGAUGUGAAAGCCCACGGCUCAACCGUGGAGGGUCAUUGGAAACUGGAGAACUUGAGUACAGAAGAGGAGAGCGGAAUUCCACGUGUAGCGGUGAAAUGCGUAGAGAUGUGGAGGAACACCAGUGGCGAAGGCGGCUUUCUGGUCUGUAACUGACGCUGAGGCGCGAAAGCGUGGGGGAGCAAACAGGAUUAGAUACCCUGGUAGUCCACGCCGUAAACGAUGAGUGCUAAGUGUUAGGGGGUUUCCGCCCCUUAGUGCUGCAGCUAACGCAUUAAGCACUCCGCCUGGGAGUACGGCCGCAAGGCUG